CCUCCCUCUGGGAGCUCUUCCCCAGGGAGGCGAGGAGCUGCUACUGGCCCGAUUGCCCUGGAGGGGGUGGGGGUGAGGGGACUGCCGGGGGUGGUGGGUGGAGUCCCAGGUUGAGAGGUCUUGCCCAGUGAGGAAAAAUGGGGUGGAGGACCCAUGUAAAAAACGAUCUGAAUGCUUUUUUAUAGGGCAGCUGCACUGUGCCGGGGGGCCAGUCAGUCCCUCAUCACCCUGGGCUCUCCAGUGCCUGAAGGCAGCAACAGCAAAGGCUGCAAAACAGCAAAGAUGGUGGCCCACCCCUCCCUCCGGGAGCUCCCUCUCAGGGAGGCGUGGAGCUGCUACCAUGGUCACAUGUGGCUGGAGUUCCAGGUCAGUGGGUCUUACCCCACCAGGUGCCGUGGAAGUGAGGCCUGCAGACUGUCUCUGCUCAGCCCCUUGGAUUCAGCCCCUUUCCCUUAAGGGAGCCUAACCUACCCCUUUGCCAGAGCUGUGGCUGCUAAUCCUGGGAUGCCCGGGGACCAAAGGCUCCUAGGACCCUGAUCAGUGGCUCUGCCCAGACUCCACCUAGCUCUGUGUGUCAGAGUGAACCCUGGUAGUAGGUUCAUGAGGGGGACCUCCUGACCUCAGCGUUGCAAAGAGAUGGGGUUUCACCAUGUUGCUCAGGGUGGUCUUGAACUCCUGGACUCAAGUGAUCCACUCCCUUCAGCCUACCCAGGUGCUGGGAUUACAGGUAUGAGCCACUUCUACUUUUAACCUACGUAUAUCAUGAUGUUUGAGGCCGUUGAGUUCAGCUUAUGGUGAUGGAAAGAGAGAUGUCAAUAAUUCCACAUUUUCUGGCUUGCAUUGUUUGAUGAAAGGUGACCCCAUUCCCUGAGUUAAAGAAUGCUGAAAGAAGACCAGGCUUGAGGAGGAAGGAUCAUGCAUUUGCUUUUGGACCUGUAGAGUUUGAGGGCAGAGCUGAAGAAGCAGUGCAAGUCCAUUUGAAGACCUCUGGAAGGAAACCCCCAGCGGCUCUUUUUUCACUGAACAAGCAUUGUGGGAAUUUGGGGCUCGGCUGUGUAAUUUGUCCUCUUCUCAUUCAUUCAGGACAUGUUCAGCACCAGGAGGAAUUUGCAUCCAAGUCCGUCUCCCUGCUAAGUGGUAUUUUGAGAAUUCCGAAGCUUAGUCUCAGAGAAGAGCUGACCUGAACUUGCCGAGGCUCCCACUGCAUUGUAGCUUUUCUCUGGAGAACAAAAACUGCCAUUGUCCAGCAGCUCAUUAGCAUGACUGUACAGCCUCCGGAGUUAGCAAGGUGAUGCAAAAAUAAUAUGACAAGAUCCAUGUCUUCAAUGAGCUACAAUCCUACUGGGACAUGAGACUGUGCUUAUAAUAUGAUGAAAGAAUAAGAAAAUUUUAAAGCUAUAACAGGCAGAGCACAAGAACAAGCAGAGCUAUAACAAGCAGAGCACAAGAAGGAAGAGUGCAGAUCCAGGACUGGGACACUUAACCAAUAAUAAUACAAAUAGUGAGUACUGUUAGUUGAUUUUCCAGGCUCCUCUUCUCACUUGUAAUGGAAUUACAAAUUAUUUUGUUGGUCAUUGACACUAACCCCAGAUUCAGAAGGAGAUUUGAUUAGAGUAGUGUGAGUAUAAUCUCAUUGCUACUUCCAUAGCAAUUGGUUUGGGGUGAAUACUGUUGGGUGACAGCAGAGGGAGAUUAUUUCAUUUCCUGUGAUCUGUGUUCAAGGAAUUAUGGUGUUUUAAUUGCUGCUAGUAGCACUUUACUUUAGGAUGAAACCUGGUACAUACAUGUAAAGCACUUUAAACAGUUCCUGGUGCAAAGUAAAUGCUUAACAUGUGUUCUUUAUUGCUAUGGUUUGAAUGUAUGUGCCCCUCCAAAAUUCAUUUGUUGGAACUUAAACCCCAAGGUGAUGGUAUUAAGAGAUGGAGCCUUUGGAAGGUGACUGAGCCAUAAGCGCUCUGCCCUCAUUGAUGGGAUUAGUGCCCUCAUAAAAGAGCUUGAGGAGCUAGUUCUCCCUUUUUGUCCUUUUGCCCUUCCUCUCUUUCUACCAGAUGAAAACACAGCAGCAACAGGUGCCAUUUUGGAAGCAAGAAGCAGAGAACAAGCUCUCACUGGGCAUUAAAUCUGCCGGCAUCUUGAUCUUGAACUUCUCAACCUCCAGAACUCUGAGAAAUAAAUUUCUAUUAUUUACAAAUUACCCAGUCUAAGGUGUUUUGUUAUAGCAGCUCAAACAAAUUAAGAUAUCUGUUUAUUGCUUUUGGUAUGUGUUUGUGUUUUAAUUUUCUUGGAAGGUAGAGCAGAGAGACAAAAAUCACCAAAUUUUGGUGACAUGGUUGAAGCUCUGGGUCAAACCAAUCUUUGAGUCCAGCCUCUGAACCUCGCAUUAAAGUCCUUUAUAGUUUAGAUUGGUUAGGAUUAGGUCUCUUGAUGUUUGUUUUCACCUUGAGGGUUCCUAACUGCUACGGGGAGUCAGUGUGAUUUAACUCUAAGUGAAGAAGAACAGUUUAGAGGGAUGAUCCUGCACAUCUGCAUGGUGAUUGAAUUUAUGUCUCCUAUAAUUGUAUAUACAAAAUGAAAGUUUGGACUCUACAGGACAGGAGACUUUCCCCAACUUCUACCCUCCUUUAUCUUUUGCUGAUUAGUAUUGCAACAGGCACCUAACCAAACUCUCUGGCUCUGGGCCUGUGCUGUGUCUUCUAAUCUUCACACAGCUGCCAGCAUUAUCUUUAAAAGACAGAUCUUAUUAUUUUACACACAAAACAGACACACAUCUCCAUGCAGCAUCUGCUUAAAGUGUUUCUGUGGUUCCUGAUUGCUGACUGGAUUUCACUCAACUUUUUAGCAUGGCCCACAUGGAGCUACCUCUGCCCCACCUUUUCAGUUUCAACUCUUAGGACCCUCUCCUACAAACAUUGGGGUUCACUGUACCCUGAACAUGUGAUAGUCUUGCGUGUCUCCAAGCCUUUGCAUCUGCUAUUCCCCAUGCAUGCAAGGUCUUGCUCUUACUUUCUGUACAGGAGAACUCCUCUUCACCUUUGAAAACCCUCAACUCAAAUACCAAUUGGUUAAGACAUAUUUCUUGAUGUCCCCUGACAGAACCACUAGGAUGUGUAUGACUUAUUAUAGGAAUUUGACAUUUCACAACUGUGGGCGCUAGUUAGUUGGUAAACAGCCUUUGGGAGGUUGUUGUGUUUAUCUUGAAGGCAGGAAGUUGAAAAGGGAAAAUGGAAAAGAAGAACAAAUUGGGACCUGAAUGGUGCCUAUGAGGAUGAACUGGAACCCGUGUUGGUCUGGAACCUUGGUUGGAAAUCCAAGCUUUCAACUUUAAUGAUGCGGAUGUUCUGCAAGAGAAGCUGGUGCACUUUUUCAUGCUUGAUAUGCACCUGGCCCAGGAGUCAGAGAAGCUGAAAAACGAUCCAGCAGGAGCUGGAGUCUGUGUGGGCCUUGUUGUUGCACCACCGUCCGCCUCCAGGCAAGACAACUG
rnacentral:lncRNA from 10 species